rnacentral:ncRNA from 1 species
ACUACGGAGAGUUUGAUCCUGGCUCAGGACGAACGCUGGCGGCGUGCUUAACACAUGCAAGUUGUACGAGAAAAAGGUAGCAAUACCUUGAGUAAAGUGGCGCACGGGUGCGUAACACGUAAGUAACCUGCCUUUAGGUUUGGAAUAAUCCCGCGAAAGCGGGACUAAUACCAGAUGAUGCAGCGGAUCCACAUGGAUAUGUUGUUAAAAUCUAUAUGGUGCCUAAAGAUGGGCUUGCGUCCGAUUAGCUAGUUGGUAGGGUGAUGGCCUACCAAGGCUGCGAUCGGUAGCUGGUCUGAGAGGAUGAUCAGCCACACUGGAACUGAGACACGGUCCAGACUCCUACGGGAGGCAGCAGUGAGGAAUAUUGGGCAAUGCCCGAAAGGGUGACCCAGCAACGCCGCGUGGAGGAUGAAUGCCGUAAGGUUGUAAACUCCUGUUAGAGGGGAAGAACAAUCCCGAUCAAAUCGGGACUUGACUGUACCCUCAGAGAAAGCCCCGGCUAACUACGUGCCAGCAGCCGCGGUAAUACGUAGGGGGCUAGCGUUGUCCGGAUUUACUGGGUGUAAAGGGCGCGCAGGUGGAUUUGCAAGUCAGGGGUGAAAUCUCACGGCUUAACCGUGAAAGUGCCUUUGAUACUGCAAAUCUUGAGUUCGGAAGAGAGAGACGGAAUUCCAGGUGUAGUGGUGAAAUACGUAGAUAUCUGGAAGAACACCAGUUGCGAAGGCGGUCUCUUGGUCCGAUACUGACACUCAGGCGCGAAAGCGUGGGUAGCAAACAGGAUUAGAUACCCUGGUAGUCCACGCUGUAAACGAUGAAUACUAGAUGUUGGCUCUUUUAGAGUCAGUGUCGCAGCUAACGCAUUAAGUAUUCCACCUGGGGAGUACGAUCGCAAGGUUGAAACUCAAA